rnacentral:rRNA from 1 species
GAACGAGAAAGUGGAGCAAUCCAUGAGUAAAGUGGCGACCGGGUGAGUAACACGUGACUAACCUACCUCCGAGUGGGGAAUAACUCCGGGAAACCGGGGCUAAUACCGCAUAACAUCGCAAGAUCAAAGCAGCAAUGCGCUUGGAGAGGGGGUCGCGGCUGAUUAGCUCGUUGGCGGGGUAACGGCCCACCAAGGCGAAGAUCGGUAUCCGGCCUGAGAGGGCGCACGGACACACUGGAACUGAAACACGGUCCAGACUCCUACGGGAGGCAGCAGUGGGGAAUUUUGCGCAAUGGGGGAAACCCUGACGCAGCAACGCCGCGUGGAGGAUGAAGCCCUUUGGGGCGUAAACUCCUUUCGACUCGGACGAUAAUGACGGUACGAGUGGAAGAAGCACCGGCUAACUCUGUG